rnacentral:rRNA from 1 species
CAUUUUAGUUUGCUUGCAAACUGAAGAUGGCGACCGGCGCACGGGUGAGUAACACGUAUCCAACCUGCCGAUAACUCCGGAAUAGCCUUUCGAAAGAAAGAUUAAUACCGGAUAGUAUACGAAUAUCGCAUGAUAUUUUUAUUAAAGAAUUUCGGUUAUCGAUGGGGAUGCGUUCCAUUAGUUUGUUGGCGGGGUAACGGCCCACCAAGACUACGAUGGAUAGGGGUUCUGAGAGGAAGGUCCCCCACAUUGGAACUGAGACACGGUCCAAACUCCUACGGGAGGCAGCAGUGAGGAAUAUUGGUCAAUGGGCGAGAGCCUGAACCAGCCAAGUAGCGUGAAGGAUGAAGGCUCUAUGGGUCGUAAACUUCUUUUAUAUGGGAAUAAAGUUUUCCACGUGUGGAAUUUUGUAUGUACCAUAUGAAUAAGGAUCGGCUAACUCCGUGCCAGCAGCCGCGGUAAUACGGAGGAUCCGAGCGUUAUCCGGAUUUAUUGGGUUUAAAGGGAGCGUAGGUGGAUUGUUAAGUCAGUUGUGAAAGUUUGCGGCUCAACCGUAAAAUUGCAGUUGAAACUGGCGGUCUUGAGUACAGUAGAGGUGGGCGGAAUUCGUGGUGUAGCGGUGAAAUGCUUAGAUAUCACGAAGAACUCCGAUUGCGAAGCACUCACUAGACUG